rnacentral:rRNA from 2 species
UACUGCAAGUCGAGCGAACUGAUUAGAAGCUUGCUUCUAUGACGUUAGCGGCGGACGGGUGAGUAACACGUGGGCAACCUGCCUGUAAGACUGGGAUAACUUCGGGAAACCGAAGCUAAUACCGGAUAGGAUCUUCUCCUUCAUGGGAGAUGAUUGAAAGAUGGUUUCGGCUAUCACUUACAGAUGGGCCCGCGGUGCAUUAGCUAGUUGGUGAGGUAACGGCUCACCAAGGCAACGAUGCAUAGCCGACCUGAGAGGGUGAUCGGCCACACUGGGACUGAGACACGGCCCAGACUCCUACGGGAGGCAGCAGUAGGGAAUCUUCCGCAAUGGACGAAAGUCUGACGGAGCAACGCCGCGUGAGUGAUGAAGGCUUUCGGGUCGUAAAACUCUGUUGUUAGGGAA